UCUAGGUCACUUACGUAUUAUGCUUCUAUACGAGCAUGUCAAAGAAAUGUAUUCGCUAAUGUAUGUUUAAUGUGAAUGCAUCUGAACUCUUAUUCAAACAACGAAUGUUUCCUACUCUUUAAUAUCUUCCACUCAACUCCUUUUGGAAAUUAACAUCUUUUUAUAAAUAUUAUCCAUAAUCCCAAAUAUUAUCAGCAGAUAUAAUAGGUUUAAAAAACCGUAACAUUUACAGUUGAGCCUUAAAGUCUGAUGCAUGUUUUUCACUAAUUAACCCAUUUUAGUUGUGUUGUAUCCCAAGACGCUCUGUAUUCAUCAUUUAUAUGCUCUAUUUAACUCUUUUCAGGCAGAAGACAAUAUGAAUAUAUACAAGCAAACUCCUGCAUAUGUUACCCUAAUGAAUUGUUCAUUCUUUGAUGAAUGUGGUAGCUGGAAAGUGAUUAUUGUAGCUGAAUAGAAAAUUCUUGUUCUCUUGUUUAAAAAAGGGAGGGAAAAAAAGGCAAAAAAGGCUUUUUUUUUUCCAGGACAUGGUGUUUCUAAAAGAGACAGACUGACUCUAUACAAAAUAAAAAAUAUGUAUACCAAAAUUCCCAGCUUUUUAAUAAAAAGAGGUUUUCAAAAUUUUCAUAAGGCUAAUAUAUAAUAACACUGGAAUACUGUAAGUGUAUUCUGUAGCACUCCUACAACAGACCCCGCACAAACACUCAUGUUGCCUCUCUAUUUUCUCCACAGAAUCUCUGAAUGUAUUUACGUAUUUGGAAACCUGUUUUACCAAAAAUAUUUGAAUCUGAAAUGUGCGAUUCGUAUCCCAGCAAACUGACAUGAGUAUUCAAAUGAAGAGUUAAAUGAGAGUGCCAUUAUUUGACAUGGAGCUACUGCUGUUUUGGAGUCUCUGACAAGAUGAAAAAAAAAUGAUUGGGAUUUAAGUGCAAAGGAAGUAAAACUGGGCUCGGGGAUCGUGAUUUGGGCUGAGUGCCAUGAAAAAACUUCUGGCUUCAGUUCAUGUGUGAAACCUUUUGCACAACAAAAGUGGUUUCUUGUGACCAGUAAGACCAAAUGUUCUAAGCAUUCCAGGAAGUGUAUAAAUGGAUUGGUACCCUUCCUAGGUGCUGUUUUUCUUAUGUGAUGAUGCUUAUACAACUGAUGCUUAACACAACCAAUUAGAAGCUGUCUCUGAGCAAGCAAUACAGGCAGAAGACUGGAGCUAUGACAAUUUGCCAACCUACUCCCCACAUAUACAGUAUCAGCAACACAAACCUGUGACUGCCAAUUUGGAUCAUAAGGGGAAUGGAAGUUGGAACUUGACUGGAAGUAUGGAAUGGCACAUCCUAAAAAUAGAAGUGCAACAGCAGCACUGACUCAAGAGCAAGUCAUCCCUUACAGGAAUUACCUACAAAGGAAACGAAAUUUCAUGGCAUCUCUCUGUCAUCCUUCCCUGCAGAUGGUGCCUCCAAAUCCCUUCUGAAGGCAAUUGUGCAGACCAGCAUAUAACUCAACAAGAAAUGUUCGUGGCUCCAACCAGUAGAAAUUAAUACCAGAGACAGAAAUCCUAUCACUGAAGCCAUGGAGGAAGACACACACUCCAGAUCAAGAGUUCUGUCCUCUACAUUCCCACUAAAGCUUUUCUGCAAAGUCCUUAUAGAACCUAAUAAACCUUGUCCUGACCACUGAACCACUGUGGUUUAAUUAUGCAAAACUGGGGUUGAAGAUUCAAGAUAUUGCUCAGAUUGUUCUGCAGUAAACUCUUCUGAUUCAGCAGCGUCAGCAGGAAGGAGCCCAUGGAUGCCAAACUAACUCCAUUUCUGCAGCCUGUUGUGCCAUCACAUGAAAAUAGGAUUCUUGCUUCUGGAUCACUCAGCUCUGUUGUCCAGGUCGAAGCAGGAGGUGAUGCUACAUGGAAAGACAAGCCAAGGAGACCUUGCUCAGGUUUCCUUACAUUCCAAAAAAAGAGCCAGGUGUAAGAGCUUGGAGUAAUUUGAAGUUAAUUUCCUACUGAUACCUUCAAGCUUGAAAGCUUCAUGAGCACCUCUGCUACACUCCUCAAGCAAAUUACCUGAACAAAGCUGCCCAAACAUGGUAUGUCUGUUAUUCCAUUUCCCUCUGCACUGUGGAGCUGGAUUCAUGUCACCAGGCAAGAACUUCCAUGUCAAGCUGAAACGCUUGCCUCAAAUAUUCAGGGUCUCAUUACUUCAGGUCGCUUGUGCUAUGUCCAGUCCAGUGGAACCCUCCAAAGAUGGAGAUUCUGUGAGUUCUACUGUGUGUGAUUGCUGCAAUGCAUUGGUAAGAGAGCAACCCACAGACAAAACUUUCUCCACUUUUCUAAACACAACAGGAGAUGUUCCACUUCCUAUCCAAGGACGUUCUCACUGAAUUUUCUGGGUUACAUAUAAUACCUUUCAGGAAUCAGGCAACAGAGCUUUGUAUCUGGAGGAUCUAACAGGUAUCUAGAGGUGCCUCCUCCAUUUAGGUUUGCAUGAGCCCACUGUGGAAGGGAUUACUUAAGCAGCUCAGGAUUCAAAAGUUAGCACGGUAAGUAAAAUCUUUCCAUUACUUUGUGAUUUACGGCUAGUUUGUUCACUUGUUUACAAAAUUAGUUGGUUUUUUUUCCAGUUAAAUCACUUUUAGACUUAUUGGAGAGGUGACAAAAAUCUGAGAUUGUCACUAUGACCAGUAUUUUUAAAUGGUCCCUUAAAAAGUGUGCAGUGAUUUGACUCAUAUCUUUUAACAAAUUCUGGAAGCUCUAACACCACUGCUAGAACUACUGGUAACUCUUCUCAGUGUGCAAAUCCCCUGUGAGUUCCCAGCCCCUGUGCAGACCUCUGCAGAACUGGGGGGCAGAGCUUCUGCCUCAUCCCUCCUGACCUGUCCUGCCUCCUUCAGCUUCCAUCCUUCUUCUGUGCAGAGCUCAGGCCAGGAGAGCCAAGGAAGCACUUUUGCUUGCAGAAGAGAGAUCUGGAUCCAGACAAGUGCUGGGAGCCUCUUCUUCCACCUUCCUGGGAUACCAGGGCAGAUCUCCUGCCAGAAGUGAACGUGGAGCGUUUUGUUUAAGCUGGGAAGCUGAUCGUGUUGAACCCAUCUAGCUGAAUAAACCAGCUGGCUGUCCUCUUGCCAUCUCUGAUGUAAAUCUAUAUGGUAUUGUGAAACUUUAUUUAUUUUAAGCUUGCAAUAUUUACCAAAGCAAACCAAAAGGGUUCUUUCUAACUUCCACAUCAUUUUUUCUACUGAGCUAUUUGUUGGAAAGAUAUGUUCAUGUAUAAUUAAAUGUGGCUUGCUUAAACCUUUGCAGUUGGUAGCUUAAUAUAUAUUUUGUUGUGCUUUGAGUACAAAGGAUAUAUUAUGCUUUUGUUGGCAUCCUUGCUGGUUAGAAUGCCAACUGCAUAAUUUUGUUCUCUGCUCUAUGUCAGAAUUCAAGUGCCGAGGGCUCAACAGGUGGUGCUGGGAUAAAGUUCUGGCAAAUCAAAUAGGUAAUGUGGUUAUUUCUUUUGUCAAAUUAUAAUUGAAAACAGAGACAAGUAAAAUGAAACUCACAUUUUCCUAGUGCAAAAGAGAGACUAGAAUUAAACUCAAAUCAGUUUCCAUGACAAAUACACAUUACUACUGGAGCUUGGUCUGUAAAUAAACAUGCAACACCUUAGUUUUGAUGUAGAAUGGGUUUUUUUCUCUGUAAAUUUAAACCUUAAGCGUCAGUGUUUAAGCAAUAACAGAAGACCAGAGUCCUCUAUGAAUCUUCUGUCUUGCUUAUACAUAUUUAGGAGAAAAUAUGCCAAAAGCUUCAGAAAAACUUUGAAAAUGUUUAAAUCUGAAAAGUCAGAGAAUUUAAGACAAUCUGGAAUACAUAAGUCAAAUGUUUAACAUCAAGAGUUUCCUGCCAUAUUGUUUUCUAAUCAUUGCUAUAUCCAUGCUCCCAGAAGAAAAUGAUAAAUACACUGGAAAUUCCAGUGAAUUUGCUGAAUGAAGUGCUGCUCAUUUUAUGCUUGACUUGGAUAAAGUUUAUUAAUACUAAAAUCAUAAAAAUGAGAUAAAACCUUCUAUAGCAAAAAUGCAACAAAUCAUAUCUGCGUAGCUUGGUUUUCCAAAAUUGCACAUGAAAAGGCCCAUGCACUUCCAGGACUACCCACUUUGCUAUUGUGGCUGAUCUUUUUUGCACCAAAAUGUUUCUAUUUUCCUCUGAGGACCUAUCCAAAUCUAAUGUAAGUAAUCUUAUGUACAGUCCCAAUGAUUAUCAUGGUUUUAUUUAGUUUUCCAUUCCUCCUCAUUUAAAGACAUUUCUCCUAAACUAUACAUUUCUCAACUCAAAGUUUUGUUUUGUCAGCUCUGAGCCCGUUGUUCACUGGAGCAGCUUCCUGCAGUGGCCUCCAGUUCCUUAGGCUGCCACAAACAUCUUUUUGUCCCUUUCAAGCUCUUAUUUAAUUCAAGGUGCUGCCUUUGUCUGGGACCAGAUGGUGCAUCCCUUUCUUUCAGUAAGUCAUUCCAUAAUCGAUCAGGAACUAAGCAGCAUGGAAAAGGGGUAUCCCAUCACUCCAGAAACAUUGGUAUUUUCACCUUUUGCAUACCAUGGGGAUCUGGUUUAGUCCCAGCAGAAUGCACACGUUUCUCUCCCAGGCUGUGGCUGUGCUGCUGAGUGCCAGGGCUGUGCUCAGGGAAUGGGGCACACCUCACAGAGCAUGGCCUGAGAAACUCCUGAAUGUGGCAUCACAAAUUGCUGCAUCUCACAGAUCACAGGGUAAGAGGCUGAAAAAUGGACACGUGGUGCUGUGAGGAAUUCCCAGGUGGUUAAGAAGGAUUUUUGUGACAAACAGAUUAAUUACAGAGAAAGGUAGGGCUCUGUGUUGGGGUUGUUUUGGGAUUUGGGAUAGUGCAAGGCCAACAGUGCUGGGUAGCUCUAUCAACUUACCCAUACACAGGUGAGAUCACCUUGAAAUGGUAUCAAUAAUACCAAAAUUAAAAUUCAAUACCUACAGAAGUUGAAAACAGAAAAGAGAGUAACUGGAUUAGUAGAGAAAUAAUAAAUCCAUGACUCUUCUAUCUUAUCUAUCCCUUUUACUGCCUUUUGGCUAGUAAUCAAUUUAAUUUCUUCACACUUUUCAGCAUGAAGAUACCUGGAAACAAGAAGUUAUUUACUGAGAAUAAAGAUCUCAGUUCAACAUGACACUCUUCACAAUCCCUCAGUUGGACUGACCCUGUUCCAGCUUGGUCAACCCAGGAAAUCUGCACCCAGUUGUUUUAGGAGUUAAUCUGUAGCUUUGCUGCAAGGGACUGGCUUAGAAGGAGAUCCUUAAUUUUCUCCAAGGAUAAUAUGCCAGCUUCCACCCGCUUUGCCAUAGCUCAAAUGAAGCAGAAGGAAUAAAUGUGUUAAUGUGUGGUGCUUUCAGAUGAGCUUUCACAGGAGGCCAGAAGAAGGGCAAGGGAUUGGGUGUACCUUCAUUUCCUGAAGUUAGCAGGAAAAUAAUAGAAAAAGCAUGAAAGAAAACUCAGUUAAGACAAAAUUCGCAGAAUUUAAGAGAAAAAAUUAAACCAUAAAAUCACAGAAUGGAGUGGGUUGGAAAGUACCCUAAAGGGACAUCUUCAAUUGUAUCAGGCUGCUCAGUGUCCUGUCCAUCCUGGCCUUGAAUGGAUCCAGAUCUCCAGCAGCCUUACAAGAGCUUGUAACAUCCCCCAGCUCAGAGACCGGUCUCUCUGCUCACAGUGUGCCAGGCAACUUCAGUGGGAUUAUAUACACCUACAUUUCCUUCACUUCCUGGAAAAGCCAGGCCUUAAGAAGACAGCUGUACAACUGAUCCAUCGCUGGCACACAUACAUUAGAUAAUUAUUUACUACACUUGGAAUCCAAGAGAGCACCAGUCAUUAACCAGGAAAGUCUGACACUGUUGGGAUCUGAGAUUUCUAUUUUUUUAAUUACAGAAAUAAGAGGUAAUCAAAAAGUCUGUAUUUGAAAAUGCAGUCUAUUUUCCUAGUUUUGAGAAAUUUAAGAGUACUAGAAUUGGACUGAUCUAGCUAUCUCCAUUCCAUUAAAUUGAGUGAAUGUGAAAAAUAUUCUAUUAUGAAGAAAUAGGUUUCAACAAAUUGAAAAAGAAUUUCAUUUUUUUAUCCAGUUGCUUAACAAUGUUUACCUUUUGUUUUUCACACAUGGUAUGUUUAAAAAUAUGGAAGUGUAAUGCCAUCCUCUGUAAGAAAUGUUUGUUUAUCUACAUGUAUUGUCCUGCAUGAAGAAAAGCAAAGGCACUUUACAAGCUCUUUGCUUCUUUCUGGGGUUGUCAGUGCCCUGUGGCCUGGGCUGAGCUGAAUGCCUCACAUCCACGAGGAGAAGAGGGAACAACUGCUGACCCUUGGAUCCAGCUAUUCUUGUAGCUGGAAACAUUGUCAGGGGCUGCAAGCAUCAAGCUGUCUGAAAGGCCAAAGUUGAGCACUACAUUAUUGGAGUAGAUGACAUUUUAUUCUUAUUCUGCAACAAUUCUAACAACUUCGAGUCCCUGCUGUCCCUUUAUGAACACAGGUGUCAUUUUGAUGGGGGAAU